AAUGAACGUUGGCGGCGUGGAUUAGGCAUGCAAGUCGAGCGCGAAACGUAGCAAUACGUGGAAAGCGGCAAAAGGGAGAGUAAUACAUAGGUACGUACCCUUGGACCUGGGAUAGCGGCGGGAAACUGCCGGUAAUACCAGAUAAUGUCCCCGGACCAAAGGUGUGAUUCCGUCUGAGGAGCGGCCUAUGUCCUAUUACCUAGUUGGGAAGGUAACGGCUUACCAAGGCAAAGAUGGGUAUGGGGUGUGAGAGCAUGCCCCCACUCACUGGGACUGAGACACUGCCCAGACACCUACGGGUGGCUGCAGUCGAGAAUCUUCGGCAAUGGACGCAAGUCUGACCGAGCGACGCCGCGUGCGGGAUGAAGGCCUUCGGGUUGUAAACCGCUGUCGUAGGGGAGGAAAUGCAGGUGGGUACUCCCAUCUGCUUGACUGAUCCUAGGAGGAAGGACCGGCUAAUCUCGUGCCAGCCGCCGCGGUAAAAC
rnacentral:rRNA from 1 species